AAAAAAAGUUUCGGCAAAUUCCAUCUAAGAAUUCCACCAGAGUUCUGUUGUCUCCAAUGUCAUCUUCCACAGAUUUCAAGUUGUGAAGCCCUGAACUGUUAAUUUAUCUUGAGAAUGUAUAUUUAAGCUUAAUUUAAGACUAUAUACCUAAAAAUUGAGCAUAUAAUUUCUAUAAUUUGUUUAUGUAAAUUUCUGUAAGUCAUAAGUAUGUGGUUUCCAAGUGUAUAAUUUAUCUGAAUGUAAUAGGCAUUAAUAUAUUUUACAUUACUGGGACCAUAGUACAGAAAUUUCUAAAUGGUUUGUAAAAUAACUUGUUAUUUGUGUUGUUGUAAAAGCAGUUAAUACAAUGGAAAAACUCGUAAUAAGAAGAUACAGUUUAACAUCAAAAAGUUUACCCAAGGUAAUUAUGAGUACUACCUGGCAAAACUUCACGGAAGCUGUGGUAUCACUUUUAUGAUGGAAGAAUGGUGUUUGCAUUUUGUGUAAAAGUACUUGCGGCUGGGCGUGGUGGCUCAUGUCCCAGUGCUUUGGGAGGCGAAGGCAGGUGGAUCAUCUGAGCCCAGGAGUUUGAGACCAGCCUAGGCAACGUGGCAAGAGCCUGUCUCUCCAAAACCUACAAAAUUUAGCCAAGCUUGGUGGUGUGAGCCUGUAGUCCCAGCUACUUGGGAGACUCACGCUGGAGGAUCUCUCGAGCCCAGGAGGCAGAAGAUGAAUAAAUAAAUGGAAGCAACUGAAUGGGAUGAGGUCUCUCUUGAAGGAGAGAGCAAAAGAGAUUUAAAUAGUAACAAUUAUAAUAAGGCUGGGCGCGGUGGCUCACGCUUGUAAUCCCAGAACUUUGGGAGGCCAAGGCAGGCGGAUCGGUUGAGGUCAGGAGUUCAAGACCAGCAUGGCCAACACGGUGAAACCCUGUCUCUAUUAAAAAUACAAAAUUAGCCGGACAUGGUAGUGCGUGCCUGUGGUCUCGGCUACUCAGGUGGCUGAGACAGGAGAAUCGCUUGAACCUGGUAGGCACAGGUUGUAGUGAGCCGAUAAAUAUAAAAAGUAUUAGAGUACUAACAGAGGAAAGUUUCCACUGAUCACCUUUUAGCUUUAAAUAAUGCAGAAGCAUUUGCCCAGUUUACUUGUAAUUAAAAAUCAUGCAUCAUUCACAAUUUAUAUCUUUUUUGUUUGUACAAAAAUGAACACAAGUUAUUCUCUUUUAUCUGUAUUGUGAUUGGUUUGGUGAGAGGGAAUUAGGCCACUUGAGAGUUUGUGUGUGUUUACAAUUUUCUGGCCAGGCACGGUGGCUCAUGCCUGUAAUCCCAGCACUUUGGGAGGCCAAGGCGGGCGGAUCACUUGAGCUCAGGAGUUCGAGACCAAAUUGGGCAACAUGGUGAAACCCUAUCUCUACGAAAAAUACAAAAAUUAGCUGAGUGCCGUGGCUUGCGCCUGUCCUCCCAGCUACUUGGGGGGCUGAGGCAGUAGGAUCGCUCAAGCCCAGGAGGUGGAGGUUGCAGUGAGCCAAGAUCACGUCACUGCACUCCAGGAAGGGCAACAGAGCAAGACUCCUUCUAAAAAAAAAAAAAAAAAAAGAAAGAAAGAAAAGAAAAUUAACUUUGGUAUUUCAGGUUGUAUUUAAAUGGAGACUUAACAUGAACUAUGUUCAUAACACUUGACCAAAUUAAGUGUAGAUCGUCUCUUUAAUAAAGAGAUCAUCUGGAACUGCAAUUUCUAACUCAUACAUCAUUGCUACAAACCUUAUUUGUUUACUAUUUCUCUUCCAAGGACCAUCAGUCAUCCUUUAAAAUUCAUUUCAAGCUCUGAAAAGAUAUUUUUUGUUACAUGGGCAAUUUACUUUUAGUACAGUAAAAUGUUAUGUGAAUUUCUACAGUAUGUUUGCCAAAAUGAAUUAUAUCUAGAAUACGCUUAACAAUAUAUUCUGGAGGCAGCUUUCAUUUGAAAUUAGGUUCACCUUCUGAGAGUAUGAAAAAGUUAAUGGGUUUUUGUGCCUGAAGAUUUUGAUGUUGCAUUUGGCUACAUUUAAUCCACUUUCACCCAUAAGUUUUAACAUCUAAAAAAAUUAAAUCACUGCUAAUGCAAUUAAAAUGCAUUAUGAAAUGCAUUUCUGUCCAGGCUGGAGUGCAGUGGCACAAUCUCGGCUCACUGCAAGCUCCGCCUCCCUGGUUCACACCAUUCUCCUGCCUCAGCCUCCCUAGUAGCUGGGACUACAUGUGCCCGCCACCACGCCCGGCUAAUUUUUUUUUUUUUUUUUUUUAAUGAGGCGGAGUCUCGCUCCGUUGACCAGGCUGGAGUGCAAUGGCAUGAUCCUGGCUCACUGCAACCUCUGCUUCCUGGGUUCAAGUGAUUCGCCUGCCUUGCUGGGAUGACAGACGUGCACCACAAUGUCCGGCUAAUUUUGUAUUUUUAGUAGAGACAUGGCUUCACCAUACUGGCCAGGCUGGUCUUGAACUUCUGACCUCAGGUGAUCCCACCUUGGCCUCCCAAAGUGCUGGGAUUACAGGCAUGAGCCACUGUGCCCAGCUUAAGAUCUCUGUUUUAAUGUUAAUGCUGGUCAGUUGUGUCUGGAUUCCAGAGGGAGGAAGGUAGAAUGAGGCAUGUUGACACCUCCCCUUCCCAUCAUGGCCUAAGCUGGUCUUUUCAGUUUACUUUGGAAUGUCCUUGCUCAACAGGAAGGGUCCAUUCAGUCGGAUUGGGUGGCUUAGAAUUUUAUUUUUGGUUUACAUCUCAACUAUCACAGCAGCCGGGCGCGGUGGCUUCACAGCUGUAAUCCCAGCACAUUGGGAGGCUGAGGCAGGGGUAUCACCUGAGGUCUGGAGUUCUAGACCAGCCUGACCAACAUGGAGAAACCCCCCGUCUCUACUAAAAAUACAAAAUUACCCGGGCGUGGUGGUACAUGCCUGUAAUCCCAGCUACUCGGGAGGCUGAGGCAGGAGAAUCGCUUGAACCUGGGAGGCGGAGGUUGUGGUGAGCUGAGAUCGUGCCACUGCACUCCAGCCUGGGCAACAAGAGCGAAACUCUGUCUCAAAUAAAUAAAUAAAUAAAUAAAUAAACAAACUAUCACAGCAUAAAGUAGGAAUAUUUCGUUACUGUCUAGUUAAACUGGUUAAUGCAGAAAGGAAGUCUGGAAAUUCCAGUUUUAAAGUAAAAUUUUGGACAUUGUAGGAUUGAUUAUUUGGCAUAGUUGUGAUGUUUGUUCCUGCGUUAUGGUUUUGUUGGCAGGGCAGCCUUUAAGGACCUGUAUAUUUUCUUCUAGACUCUAUAUAUUCCCUGUGAGUAUUAGUUGUAUGGUCAAACUGGCAAAUUUUACCAUAGGUAUAAAUAAUAGAGAAUGUGGAAGAAUAGUGAAUAGUGUCAGAGAUAGUUAAAAGUCCAUACAAUAGUAGAGAAGGUAAUAAGUAAUAGUGGCUUGGACUAAAUAUUUGUUGAAUAAAUGUUUUAAAAAACAGGCUACCUACAAUUUGUGUUGAAGAUAUGAAUGAAUGAAGUUUCCACACCUUUAUGUGGAGACCUGAUAAGUAAGCAACAAUAAGGAAGGGUCCCCAGGUUGGGGAGAGCCCCAAGUUGAGAACAAUAAUGAACAAUGAUUGUAUGAACAAUUGUUAGAAACAGCUAAUCACAAACAACCUGCGGGCACAAUGACCUCAUUCCACACGUAGCACCCUUCAGCAGGACCCUAUAAAACUUUCCUCCAGCCCUUGCCUCUUUGCAGGUAGCCCCUUCUCUGCUGAGCUGCCCACUGCAACAUAUUUUCACAAUUUCUCUAAUAAAUCUGCCCUUCUUUACCUACAACUAUCUUGGUAAAUGGCUUUACCACCUGCAAAACUGACCCUAGGUUGUUGCUACCCGAUAUGGUUUGGCUGCGUCCCCACCCAAAUUUCAUCUUGAAUUGUAGUUCCCAUAAUCCCCAUGUGUCGUGGGAGGGACCCGGUAGGAGGUAAUCGAAUCAUGGGGGCAGGUUUUUCCCAUACUGUUCUCGUGAUAGUGAAUACAUCUCACUAAAUCUGAUGGUUUUAUAAAGGGCAGUUUCCCUGCACGUGCUCUCUUGCCUGCUGCCAUGGAAGACAUACCUUUUUGCUCCUUGCCUUCCACCAUGAUUCUGAGGCCUCUCCAGCCUUGUGGAACUGUGAGUACAUUAAACCUCUUUUUCUUUAUAAAUUACCCAGUUUCCAGUAUUUCUUCAUAGCAGUAUGAAAAGUAACUAAUACACUACCCGAGACAUCUUAGGAGAUUUGUAAUAGCUGUAAUGCCAGGUCCACCAUAUUUUUAGCAUAAAGCAAAUGUUUACGCGUGAUAUGACUGCACGGGCUUUCUUUCAGCUGGAGCCAUAGCAACUCAAGUAGUAACCCUAUCUUAGUCUGAUUAAAAGUAAAUAUUAGUCUGGGCAUGGUGGGACAUGCCUGUAAUCCCAGUACUUUGGGAGGCUGAGACAGAAGGAUUGCUUGAGCCCAGGAGUUUGAGACCAGCCUGGGCAACAUGGAAAAACACCAUCUCUACAAAAAAUACAAAAAUUAGCUGAGCGUGGUGGCACACACCUGUAGUCCCAGCACCUUGGGAGGGUGAGGCAGGAGGAUCUCUUGAACCCGGGAGGUGGAAGCCGCAGUGGGCAAUGAUCAUGUCAGAGGUGUGUGAACCAGAGCAACUCCAUCUUAAAUAGGAGCCAGGAAAAAUGAGGCUGAAACUACUGGGCUGCAUUCCCUGAUGGUUAAGGCAUUCUAAGUCACAGGAUGACAUAGAAGGUCAGCACAAAAUACCAGUCAUAAAGACCUUGCUGAUAAAACAGGUUGCAGUGAAGGAGCUGGCCAAAACCCACCAAAACCAAAAUAGAGACAAGACUGACCUCCCAUCAUCCUCCCUGCUACACUCCUACCAGCACCAUGACAGUUUACAAAUGCCACGGCAACAUCAAGAAGUUACCCUAUAUGGUCUAAAAAGAGGAGGCAUGAAAAAUCCACUCCUUGUUUAGCAUAUCAUCAAGAAAUAACCAUAAAAAUGGGCAACCAGCAGCCCUCACGGCUGCUCCGUCUAUGGGGUAGCCAUUCUUUUAUUCCUUUACUUUCUCUCUUUUUUUUUGAGAUGGAGUCUCCCUCUGUCACCCAGGCUGGAGUGCAGUGGCGCGAUCUCGGCUUACUGCAAGCUUCGCCUCCCGGGUUCAUCCCAUUCUCCUGCCUCAGCCUCCAGAGUAGGUGGGACUACAGGCACCGGCCACCACACUUGGCUAAUUUUUUUGUAUUUUUAGUAGAGAUGAGGUUUCACCGUGUUAACCAGGAUGGUCUUGAUCUCCUGACCUCGUGAUCCACCUGUCUCGGCCUCCCAAAGUGCUGCGAUUACAGGAGUGAGCCACGGUGCCCCUCCUCCUUUACUUUCUUAAUAAACUUGCUUUCACUUCACACUGUGGCAUCACCCUGAAUUCUUUCUUGCACAAGAUCCAAGAACCCUCUCUUGGGGUCUAGAUUGGGACCCCUUUCCUGUAACUAUCAUGCUACUGCACUCCAGCCUGGGCAACAGAGCAAGGCCCUGUCUCAAAAAAAAAAAAAAAAAAGGAACAUGACUUAAUACAUUCAUUUUGGAGGAUAAGUCUCUCAAAAUAGGCCUUUCACUGGGGGAAAAUGGUAAAAAUACUCCCUGGUAAUUCAAGAAUUGGAGACUCCUGAGAUGCUGCUCAUAUUAGCUGAGCACUUAUCAAUACUUCACUUUUUUCCAUAUAUACUCAAGGAACAAGUGCUAUUUAAAGUGUUUCACUCCACUGGGCUAGGUGCAAGACUAUAAAGAGGUGUGAGGAUCAACACUUUUAUGAAAACCAGUGUCAUUCUGGAUAUAGUUUCAGAUGCUAGUGCAAAGGAAGCUCUUGGUAUACGGAAAAAGUAUUCAACAAUAAAUUAGGCAUGGUUGCUUCCAUUUUCUGCCUCACAUACUUUUUUUUUCGUGGUUAAAGUGAUAUAAUGUCUAUGAUAUUUUAGAUUGGCAGUUGCAAACUAGUGGUCCUCAGCGUGCUUUUUAUGACACCUACAAGGUCUGAAGACUUUGAUUUCAUAUUAAAAAUCUGGGUUUCAGGCUGGGUGUGGUGUUGCAUGCCUGUAAUCCCAGCACUUUGGGAGGCUGAGGCAGGAGAAUCGCUUGAACCAGGGAGGUGGAGGUUGCAGUGAGCCAAGAUCGCGCCACUGCACUCAAGCUUAGGCAAUAGAGCAAGACUCCAUCUCAAAAAAUGAAUAAAUAAAUAAAUAAAAUCUGGGUUUCAGGCCAGGUGUGGUGGUGCACUCCUGCAAUCCCAGCACUUUGGGAGGCUGAGAUGGGCAGACAGCUUGACCUCAGGAAUUCCAGACUAGCCUGGGCAACAUGGCGAAACCCCAUGUCUACAAAUAAUACAAAAAAAUUAGCUGGGUGUAGUGGAGUGUGCCUGUAAUCCCAGCAACGUGGGAGGCUGAAGUGAGAGGAUUGCUUGAGCCUGGGAGGUUGAUGUUACAGUGAGCUGAGAUCGCCCUCCUACACUCCAACCUGGGCAACAGAGCCAGACCUUGUCUUAAAAAAAA
rnacentral:lncRNA from 1 species